UAAAGAUCCAUGGAGUCCCGCCAUUUGCAGACUACCAUUCUAUUAAAUAAAGUUGAGCUUUUAUCCAAAUGUUUCUUAUUCUUAUUUGUUUCUGUUUUAAAAUUGAAUAUUUAUGAUGAUAAUUUUUGAAAUAAAUAAAUCAAUAAACAAUCAUUUUUCCUAAAUAAUAAGGCAUUUACUUCAAGAACAAUCGAUUUCAAAAAAGGAAUGUCAACAGCAAUUUAAGAACGAUAGGUCUUGAUGUGUGAAGCAUUGUUG
rnacentral:lncRNA from 1 species